rnacentral:rRNA from 1 species
UACAGAGGGGGCAAGCGUUGUUCGGAAUUACUGGGCGUAAAGGGCGCGUAGGCGGCCUUCUAAGUCGAACGUGAAAUCCCCGGGCUCAACCCGGGAACUGCGUCCGAUACUGGAAGGCUUGAAUCCGGGAGAGGGAUGCGGAAUUCCAGGUGUAGCGGUGAAAUGCGUAGAUAUCUGGAGGAACACCGGUGGCGAAGGCGGCAUCCUGGACCGGCAUUGACGCUGAGGCGCGAAGGCUAGGGGAGCAAACGGG